rnacentral:rRNA from 1 species
UGGGGAAUAUUGCACAAUGGGGGAAACCCUGAUGCAGCAACGCCGCGUGAAGGAAGAAGGCCUUUGGGUCGUAAACUUCUGUCCUAAGGGAAGAUAAUGACGGUACCUUUGGAGGAAGCCCCGGCUAACUACGUGCCAGCAGCCGCGGUAAUACGUAGGGGGCGAGCGUUAUCCGGAAUUAUUGGGCGUAAAGAGUGCGUAGGCGGUUUUUUAAGCGCGGGGUGAAAGGCAAUGGCUUAACCAUUGUUAGCCCUGCGAACUGGGAGACUUGAGUGCAGGAGAGGAAAGCGGAAUUCCUAGUGUAGCGGUGAAAUGCGUAGAUAUUAGGAGGAACACCAGUGGCGAAGGCGGCUUUCUGGACUGUAACUGACGCUGAGGCACGAAAGUGUGGGGAGCAAACAGG